rnacentral:lncRNA from 1 species
CUUAUUUAAAACAGAGUUACGACCAUCACAAAUUUUCGUUACGACCAUCCUCAACAUUUUUGUUUUUUUAGUUACGACCAUCAUGCUCGAAUUUUUGAAUGACUAUUUUACGAAAAUUGGAAUGUUUUAAUGCAUCAAAUUUGGUUUCAAUAUCUCCGAACCACCGAAUAGUAUGUAUGAGACAAGCGGUUUGACUCAAAUGAACCUUUUACUGCACG